CAGGGAGACAACAAAAUGUUUAAUAUUAUUUUGUCACCUUAGGUCGAUCGGUAUCUCACGUUUUUAAUUUAUUAAGAAUUUCAUUUCCUAAGUUUUUCUAGGUCACACCCAUUAUUUUUCCUGGGCCAUUAGCUCAGGUGGUUAGAGCGCACCCCUGAUAAGGGUGAGGUCCCUGGUUCAAGUCCAGGAUGGCCCAUAUCUCUAUGUUGGGGGUAUAGCUCAGUUGGUAGAGCGCCUGCUUUGCAAGCAGGAUGUCAGCGGUUCGAGUCCGCUUACCUCCACUGAUUACCACCUCUUCCAUAACCGGUAGAAAGGAAAUGUUUUGAGUUGUGAUCAAAUUCUGAAAGAUUCUAGCUUCCUAAUGAGAUCAUUAAGAUGCUGGACUCAUUGAAUUAAUUUCAUUGUUUUCAGAGAACCUUGACAACUGCAUAGAUUAUUUUUAAAGACAAUAAGCAUCUUUAAUGAUGCAGAUUUAUUAUUUGUGCGAAUGCAUUAAUAACAAUUCUAUUAAGCUGAUGCUUCAAUUAUUGAAGUUAUU
rnacentral:tRNA from 1 species